GAACGAGAAAGGGGAGCAAUCCCUGAGUAAAGUGGCGACCGGGUGAGUAACACGUGACUAACUUGCCCUCGAGUGGGGGAUAACCUCGGGAAACCGGGGCUAAUACCGCAUAACAUCUUCGGGAUGAGAAGCCGAAGAUCAAAGGAGCAAUUCGCUUGAGGAGAGGGUCGCGGCUGAUUAGCUAGUUGGUGAGGUAACGGCUCACCAAGGCGACGAUCCGUAGCUGGUCUGAGAGGAUGAUCAGCCACACUGGGACUGAGACACGGCCCAGACUCCUACGGGAGGCAGCAGUGGGGAAUAUUGGACAAUGGGGGCAACCCUGAUCCAGCAAUGCCGCGUGAGUGAUGAAGGCCUUAGGGUUGUAAAGCUCUUUCGCCCGCGACGAUGAUGACGGUAGCGGGAGAAGAAGCCCCGGCUAACU
rnacentral:rRNA from 1 species